UACGUAGGGUCCGAGCGUUGUCCGGAAUUACUGGGCGUAAAGAGCUCGUAGGUGGUUUGUCGCGUUGUUCGUGAAAACUCACAGCUCAACUGUGGGCGUGCGGGCGAUACGGGCAGACUAGAGUACUGCAGGGGAGACUGGAAUUCCUGGUGUAGCGGUGGAAUGCGCAGAUAUCAGGAGGAACACCGGUGGCGAAGGCAGGUCUCUGGGCCGACUACUGACGCUGGAGAAGCGAAAGCAUGGGGAGCGAAACAGGAUUAGACUA
rnacentral:rRNA from 1 species